GACAACAAAGCUCAGUGGGAGAGCGCAGGGCUUUGCCCUGAGGUUGCUGGUUCGACUCCAACCGUUGCCA
rnacentral:tRNA from 1 species